rnacentral:rRNA from 1 species
UGGCUCAGAACGAACGCUGGCGGCAGGCUUAACACAUGCAAGUCGAACGCCCCGCAAGGGGAGUGGCAGACGGGUGAGUAACGCGUGGGAAUGUGCCCCAAGGUACGGAACAACAGCGGGAAACUGCUGCUAAUACCGUAUGUGACCGAGAGGUGAAAGAUUUAUCGCCUUGGGAUCAGCCCGCGUUAGAUUAGGUAGUUGGCGGGGUAAUGGCCCACCAAGCCUACGGUCUAUAGCUGGUCUGAGAGGAUGAUCAGCCACACUGGGACUGAGACACGGCCCAGACGACUACGGGAGGCAGCUGUGGGAUCU